rnacentral:rRNA from 1 species
CCACCGGCAGCUCAAGUGGUAGCCGCUUUUAUUGGGCCUAAAGCGUCCGUAGCCGGUCUGAUAAGUCUCUGGUGAAAUCCCACAGCUUAACUGUGGGAAUUGCUGGAGAUACUAUCAUGACUCGAGGUCGGGAGAGGCUGGAGGUACUCCCAGGGUAGGGGUGAAAUCCUGUAAUCCUGGGAGGACCACCUGUGGCGAAGGCGUCCAGCUGGAACGAACCUGACGGUGAGGGACGAAAGCCAGGGGCGCGAACCGGAUUAGAUACCCGGGUAGUCCUGGCCGUAAACGAUGUGGACUUGGUGUUGGGAUGGCUUCGAGCUGCCCCAGUGCCGAAGGGAAGCUGUUAAGUCCACCGCCUGGGAAGUACGGCCGCAAGGCUGAAACUUAAAUGAAUUGGCGGGG